rnacentral:rRNA from 1 species
GACGUAGGGCGCGAGCGUUGUCCGGAUUUAUUGGGCGUAAAGAGCUCGUAGGCGGCUUGUCGCGUCGUCCGUGAAAACCUGCAGCUCAACUGCAGGCUUGCGGUCGAUACGGGCAGGCUCGAGUUCGGUAGGGGAGACUGGAAUUCCUGGUGUAGCGGUGAAAUGCGCAGAUAUCAGGAGGAACACCGGUGGCGAAGGCGGGUCUCUGGGCCGAUACUGACGCUGAGGAGCGCAAGCGUGGGGAGCGAACAGG